UUCCUCUUUCUGUUUUAUUGCUUGUUUUGUCAUGUCCACUCACAAGUUCUUGAAACUUUCAUUUUUGUUGAUGGGGGGGGAGUUGGCUUAGUUCGCCUCCCUUUGCCUUUGACUAUACUGUCAGGCCUUUUAUGUUCUUCCUGUGGAUUUUGGGUCACUGUCAGAGAGACUGAGAGAGGGUGUGAGGGAAAUUUAAAUGUGGCUCUCCAAAGGCUGGGAGAGAAUACUGAGUGGCUGGUUUUCCUUUGGGGAAAUACAGAAUUUGUGUCCUAAUUACUGGAGUUCAACCCAGCCUAUGAUGCUUCUGGAAAACACGCUUUGGUGACCAGCUAUUGUGGUGUGCAGUGCACAGGAAGUGAUGCAGUGACGCACUCGACAGGCUCGAAUCAUUCAUGAGCUGACACUGAGGGCGCGGCCUGAUGUAAAGAUGUAAAGUAAUAUCCCAGCAGUGCAUGAGACACAAACAACUUUCAGGAGUGAGAGAUAUAUCAUCGCUGCCAUGUGAAAACUCACAUUUCCCUAAGGUUAGGGUGCCGAUUAAUCCCAGAUGGAUGGAGUCGCCCACACGAGAGGUGACGUGAGGUGAUUCACCAUCACUUUGGUAUUAGUCCCAUAAUGCAAGCUGACGGUGGGGAUUUCAGAAGCAGGGGAGGGGAAGUGGGCGGUCCAGAGGGUUCGUGUUCAGGCCUCUUCUGUGAAUCAUGCAGCCUAGCGUGCGAUCGGCACACUGUCCUCCUCUUGACUCCUUCAUAAGCUCUGUUACAAUAACACACUUGCCUUUCACUCAGGUCCUAACCCCGAACCUCCCCUGUCCAAAACUCCCCCCACCCACCACCACCAACACUCCACUUCUCCAAAAAACACAGGAGGAAAAAGAGAAACAGCCCUGUGCCUACAGUUUUCUAUAAGAUAAAAGCUUUAGGGUAUUUAUUUCGGCCGCUGGCUCCCCUCAAAACUCCAUUGCUGUUGUUAGCAUAACUGUGAUGACAAAGAUAAUCUUUGUUAUUAUUAUUAUUAUUCAUCCCCACUUUAAUUAAUUUCUCCCCGGGGCUCAAAGCAGUAAUAAGGAGCAGACGCUGACUGUCUCUACCCCACUCUACUUCCUCAACACUUAAAUCCCAACCAAGUGCAAGUUAAGGUUAACAGUGCCAUCUACAGUAGAGAGAAAACUAGUCCAUUGUGUGCUUUGAUGAUACUGAUGACAUGAGCGGUACUGACAUGGACAUAUCUGAGGCAUCAGCCAUCUUGUACUGAUGGGUUUUUACCUCUUUGUUAUUUAGGGUGCGUUCAGCAAAAGUGGGCCUCUUUUUGGCAAAUGCACCAGGGUACUACUACAACAAAUAUUCACUCAUACCAGUCAUGUUUUGUGAAAUGGUACGACCCUUCUUAACAUUCUCAUGUACCAUUUUGAAAAUAAAUAAUUAAAAUAAAUGAUGUUUAUCUUUCAUUCUGACAUGAUCAGACUAACAACCUCCACAUUACAGCACAACAGCUUAAACAACAUGAGCCACCUCAUCAUUCUUGUCCAAUAUUAAAUGAAAAUAUAUAAAAUUGCAGGAAUGCUGCAUGAACCAUGUUUAGAAAAGAGUCCCACUUUACUUGAAAUCACAGUACCAGUUUUGCUAACACCCCAAAGUCAAGGAGUUACAGUUUAAACCUUGAUGCUAGCUAAUCUAUAUUAUAUUUAUCUCAUUUACUAAGACAUACAAUAAUAUUGAAGAUUUUAAUCCAUAGGUCUGGCACUUCUAGAGUUAUUCCAUGACGGAUAUCAUGUGAGAUGUGCAGUCUGUUUAAGGGGCCUUUUUCUGUCUGUAAGAUCACAAAUUUCAAUCCCUAUGACAAUCUGACACCCAGUCUAAUUGCAAACACUCUUGAGCAUAAAUCUGAUUCCCAAAUUGUUUUGCAACCAAACAUCAAGUGUGCUCCAAAUGUCUCAUGGAACUAUUCUUUAUUGUGCUGUUUAAAGUAUCACAAAAUAUACAAAGAAAUCCAUUCUCACCUCAUUUAUCAGCAUGAUUCUUGUUAGAAUAGUGCUAUCCCUGAAUAAUUGUUUAUCCAUUUAAGCAGGAAUAAGGCUAGGUGAGUGACAUGAACUAAUUCACAGCUGACUAAUUUAGCACAUCAAUGUCAGAGACUAAACACAAGGAUUCAGAGAUUUAACCAUUUGCCUUGACGAGGGAGAGAAAAAAAGGGCUAAAGACGGACCAUUACUGUUUAUCCUCAGCCUUAUCACUACUGGCAAUGGGCUUGUAAAUAUUAUCCUAUUCUCCUUAAUCCACUGCACAACGCCGUGCUCACCCACUUACCGGAAGCUCCGACAUUUACCUCGGGAUUUGCCGGGGCUUGGGCUAGAGUGGCUGCGAGUAGGAAAGUGCUAAUCUACAAGGCAGAUUCAGGAUUAGUCUGGUGAGCCAGGUGACCCGAGGGCCUGAGAUCUCAUUGGCCGGAGGGGAUGCAGGCCCGUGGUCCGUGGUGGGGGGUAACUGACAAGAGGAAACUAGGAAGGCGAAGGGGGGGUUCUCUCCAACUCUGUUUUCUCGUUGUUUCUCCCCUUCUCCUUUCUCUCUUCCACACUCGUUCUCUCUCGCUCUCUCUGAAGGAGCCCUGAUGAGAAUUCCACUAAUCAUCUGAGGAUUAACAGGGACUCAGACAACACUACAUCUAAUUCCCCCUUCACCGCCACUGGGGCAACAAGAGGCCCCACGCAGCACUACAGCGCACCAGCACUGAACAGAUCACUAUGCAUGUGUAUGCAACUAGUAGACUCAGAUAUGAGGUAGAUAUUCACUUGUUGAUUUAGUCGUAACUGAUCAGUAUGAGCCAAAUGUACUCAUUAAGUUGAUCCAUCAUGCUAACCCUGCCUAGACAUUAUGUUUAUAUACUGCUUAUGUGUUUUGGCAAGUGCAUUUUGAGGUAAACAUAAUUGCUGCCUGGAUUACGGUCAGUGGCAACGUUUUGUCAAAUGAACAAAGUGCUACAUUUUUGUAUUGCUCAAAAGUCGUAGGGAUGUGGUCGGGGGGGAUGUAUGGUGCAUACAGGCGCAAGAUUUUGAUACCGAAAACGAUGGUUUCCGUCUUGAGUGUUCUUUGGUUUAGGCAACAAGAGCAUUUUGGUUAAGAUAUGGGAAAAACUGAGUUUUCAGUUAAAUGUUAAUAAAGUAAAAAUGCCCUAUCUCUUGCUUUAAGUCACUGUUGACUUUUUAAAUAUUUACCAAGAUGACUAUCUUUCCCUAACCUCAACAAAGCACUGUGAGUGUCUAAACAUAACCAUAACAUUUUUUUAUAUUCUUUAGUUGUAAUAAGUGCAAUAAAAGUGUAAUAUGUUGCAAAAGCUCAUAAUGUAUACAUUUAGUUUUGACAUUUUGCGUCUUGGCAGAUAUGUUAAUUAACAACUUCUAAUUCUGUUAAUAUGUUUUCCUCAAAACUUAUUUGCUUUUGUAAAUUAGUGGAAUUUAUUAUUAUUAUUAUUAAAUGACAGGGUUGAUCUUGGCUUUACCUAUUAAAUGCAUCGCUUUUAAUCUCCUCUUUUGUGACAGUAAUUUCUGAGGAAAAGUUUUGGAUUCCAAGACCAGGGAAAAUUUAGGGGAAAGUAAUAAAUGACCACAAAUUGCUCCAGUGGAGUCCACCAGUAGCCAAAAAAUAGUGUAGAGUGUAGUGCUGAAACAACUAGUUGAUUAAUUAAUUAGUCAAUCAACAUAAAAUGUAUUUACAAAAAUUAUGAUAAUUGAUCUGUACAAGUCAUUUAUAUGGCAGAAAUGCCAAAUAUUUUUGUUUUUUGGCAUUUAGACUUUACUGGGCAGUAGAGAUAGAGACACAAGAAGAGAGAGAGGGAGAUAUGACAUGUAACAAAGCUUGAUGGCUGGAAUCGAACCCCAUGGCAUUGCAUAGACUUAAUUAUUAAUUUAUCAAAAAUAUCAGUAAUGAAAAUAAUCAUUAAUUGGAGCUCUUUUAAGUGACUGAGUAGUUCCUUGUGUGGACAUGGACAUGUGCAGCUGUAUUAUUAUACUGAUGCUGAAAUAUGUACUAUAAAACAUUUGACAGAAAAAGACAAAAAUAAGUGACUAAAGAAAUCACUCAUUUUGGCUAAAAUACCCAAAUUGGCUAAGAAUGUGCCGUUCAAACACAGCAAAGCUUAAUGUUUUGGCCUCUGUGUUUUGCUUUAUACUUUCACCUUUUCUUAUUUUUCUGUCUGAGAUGAGUGUGUAUGACUGCUCUGAGUGUAAUCCUGUGUGCUUGGAUAAGAACACGAUGGUCAGCUUGUGUUUUUCAAAGUGACACUGGCAUCAGGAACUCAUUCAUUUUAAUGCCGAGGCUCAUUCACUUACCAGGUCAUGCUGGGCCACCCACAAUGCAAAACUACUUCUAAAAAAUCUGAACAUCAAGAGUGUGCAGUUUCACACCAUGAUAUGUGAUAUUUUAAAGUCAGUAUUUCAGCACUGUUUAAUAUUAAUGCUUCAAACCGUGCAUUGUACCCAUGCACAAUUCAUGAUAAUAUAUUAGAGGCAUCAAGGGUAAGUGGGUUGCAUUUUCAGUACAUUUUGGCGGCAGUCCCGUGCUAUCUCGGAGACAGGUUGGCUUCCCAGCCUCCCACAGUUUUGCAGUAAUGAAGGAGCUGUCUUACCCAAACAAACAGCCUCUCUGGAGAUGUACCUCAACUACCUCCUUAAUCCAGGAAGUCUCUCUUAUCUUCCCACAAAUGGCCCUGUAGUGAGGCACAGAACACUGCAGUGUCAUUCAUCAGUUAAACCCCAGAGCGAUGAGCAGGUACGAUUGCUUCAUGUUGGGAAAGUGAAAAGUGACAGCACGCACUCUGGUGGCGUAGAUCAGGGCUCUGAGCUCAGUUUUGUCCGUCAGACGUCAAUCUAUGUGUCACAAUCCUGAAUCCACACAGAAUGAUGUGCCUUUAUUUUUCAUUGGCAGAUAUCAAUGCUUCUAUUACUCAAGUCCCCCUGGUGUGGUGGUGCUGUUAUGUUGUGCAUCGAGGAUUUUAAGCUUAUUCUACUGUGGCAUUUGUCAUAAAUCUUCCAAGACAAGAGCAUGUUCAAUACAGUUAAAAUAUUCUGAAGCAUGCUGUUGUCAGACACUCUUAACAGGAUUUUAUCUAUCACAAAAAAAUCUCAUUUUUAGAUACUUGUAAUUUUCAUCAGAAGUUUUGGCAGGCCAAAUUCAGUUCUGCCUCAAAAUAAUAUUUUUUCUGCAUGUUCCAGCAUCAGUUUUAGAUUUAUUUGUUUUUCCCCCCAUUUAUUAAUUAUUUGAGUUGGCUAAGAAUCAGUUAAAAACUUAAGAUCCCGUGUUUGGAAUUAUUUCCUAAUUGCCCUUUAUGUCUUUAAAAGACUCAAUUAAAAGUUGGAGGUAAAAUAAACUACAAAGUAAAAGAAUCAUCAUUUUUAUCAACAAAUUUCCUCUGACCAGUACUCUUUGCCCCAUUUUCUUCAUUUUGCUUUUAAGUAUUUUUUGACCUAAUUUUUGUCAGACUGGUGGAUGAUAAUAUGACCACCUCCACCACCACUGAGGUGGUCAUAUUAUUACCCAACACCAAAUUUCUUCAUCACGUAGCAAUGAUAUUUACACAAUGAAAAGUGUCGGAUGAAAAUGUAUGGUUUGAUGGCUUGUCCAAAGAGAUGGCAGUGCCUGAAGGUGUUGACAAGAAGAAAAUGGAGAGUUUGGGAGUGAGGACUUGCAGCAGAGAAAAGUAAUUUGUGGAGGAGUUGUGACACUUGGCGCCACUCAUUAGACUACUUCAUAGAGAGCUAAAAGCUUUGCUUCUCCCACAGAACACACUCCCACACAGCGCUGACUGGACCAUGUCAGGCACAGUGCUGUCGAUGGAAAACCAGGAAUCCACAAAAGAAAGUUUGUCAAAAUGAAAAAAGAAUGUUUAUAUUGUGCGCAUGUACAGUGAUUUAAAAAAAAAAAAUAAGAUUAUGCUAUUGGGUUUUAAUAAGGUUAAAAGGAGCAAGAAACAGAACUAACACAUUACAGCUUAGUAACACACACACACACACAUAUAUGCUCCAAAUCAACUUCUGGCAAACGUUUUUUUUUAAUUGCUGCAGAAGUUGGCAAUGUCAGUAUUGUGGACCAGGAAUGAUGGUUUUGUGAAUUAUAAUUUUCAUACUUAUGAUAAUAUACAAUGUCUGAAUACUACUACUACUACUAAUAAUAAUAAUAAUAAUUUUAUAAGAAGAAUUUUAAUAAUAAUAAUAUUAUAAUAGAAUGAAAAUGUCAUACCAGCCAUAAAACACACACACUUCCACAAUGCAAAAUUGGUAAGGAAAAACAACAACAUAACUUAACAUAAGUUACAUGCAUAUAUACCUGCAAAGACAAAUAUGUUAUUUUAGGUCUUUAAUUACACAGUUGAUAAUUUCAUAUUCAGUACUUAUUACUUCAGUACUAAUUAAGUAACUAAUUUAUAAAAGAAAUAAGAAUGAAUAAAAUAAAAUAACGAAUUGACUAUUACAAAACAUUUUCUACUUAUAUUCUUUUUUUUCUCGAUCAUUCUAGUAGCCUACAUUACAACAUUUUUUCUGAGGCUCCCACUUUGCUUUGUUAUGUUGAUAAUUCAAAAUUUAAAUAUUUUUCUUUUGCUGCUACACGCAUUUCCUGUGGGUAACAGUCCUCACUUAUAUGUCUAGAAUGUUAAUUCAAUGUAAAAGGUUUAGGGUUUACAUUACUGUGAUACUUUGGGGUUUACAAGCAAGAAUAACAUUUUUAAUUUGUACAAUUUGUACUUAUAUAUUAAUACCAAAAUAAAAUAGUCAUAUUUGUCUACUCUAGAUGUUUUCCAUGUUUUAAAGUUGUUUUGUCAUUUGUUUCUGUACUAUA